GGGCGAGGGGGGGGGGGUGUGGGUGUGGGUGUGGGUGUGUCUGUUUGUGUGUGUGGCUUUUCAGAGGGCACAGUUUUUCUCCGAGUUGAACUACUCACCGACUGCCCCGAGGGGCUGAAGAUGCUGCCCCAGUCGGUGGCGAGGUUCGGCACAACAGCUAGCUUGUAGCCAGAGUCUGGCACUGGACGCGCGCCGUGACUGUGCAACUGUCUUCACGAGAAUCACGUGUGCCCGCUAGGAUUACCCUUCCUGUGUGUGUGCCCUGACCAGCCCGACACUGCCUCAGCCUGGAAGACUUUCAGGUCAGGUUCUGCUUCUCGACCGG